GACGAACGCUGGCGGCGUGCCUAAUACAUGCAAGUCGAGCGGACUUUCAAGAAGCUUGCUUUUCGAAAGUUAGCGGCGGACGGGGGAGUAACACGUGGGCAACCUGCCUGUAAGACGGGGAUAACUCCGGGAAACCGGGGCUAAUACCGGAUAAUAUCUUUCUUCGCAUGAAGGAAGGUUGAAUGGCGGCGCAAGCUGCCGCUUGCAGAUGGGCCCGCGGCGCAUUAGCUAGUUGGUGAGGUAACGGCUCAGCAAGGCGACGAUGCGUAGCCGACCUGAGAGGGUGAUCGGCCACACUGGGACUGAGACACGGCCCAGACUCCUACGGGAGGCAGCAGUAGGGAAUCUUCCGCAAUGGACGAAAGUCUGACGGAGCAACGCCGCGUGAGCGAAGAAGGUCUUCGGAUCGUAAAGCUCUGUUGUCAGGGAAGAACAAGUACCGUUCGAGUAGGGCGGUACCUUGACGGUACCUGACCAGAAAGCCACGGCUAACUACGUGCCUGCAGCCGCCGCGG
rnacentral:rRNA from 1 species